rnacentral:misc_RNA from 1 species
AUUAACGCUGAUUUUCAAGACCAGCCUCCCGAUUCUCUUGGCGCAAUUACACAAUGCGUAGGACCAAUAGACGAGGUGGCUAUCGGCACCGCCGUCUUGUUGAAAACUGGAACUACGAAGUUAUUCACCACCAACCCCAGGAUCAACAACAGCAAUCCGCUACUGAACUCUCUUCCUUUCCAUCAACUUCUUCUCCGCAACAAACUCCGGGCUCUAAAUCUCCUAAAACUCAUCCAAACCCCAAGUGGGUCGCACGUGAUACGCCAAAAUAUGCACCCAAAAAAAAAGCGUUUAGGGAGAUUUCUGAAGUCGAUACCACGAAAUAUCCUAUGGGUUCUAUGAACGCUGAAGUGGGUUCUCCAAAAUCCGAACCAACUUCUUCGAAGAUUGAGGUGAUUUCUUUGAGUUCUGAAGUCGGUUCUCCGAAAUUUUCUGAAAAAGAAAGUAAGGAGCUAGAAAACAAGGAAAAGGAUGAUUUGCAAUCAAAUAAAAAGAGCUGUGAACCCGAGAAUGUAGUAGAUGAUAUUGUGAAUAGAUUAGAAAAGUUGCGGUUAGGUG